CAGGUUGAGGACUGAGUGCCACUGGAAAUUUCCCGGACGAAAAGCUGCUUGGAGCCUCCAGGGACCGGCAUCCG
rnacentral:antisense_RNA from 1 species